AAAUAAACAUCUCCAAAACAUCUAUCAAGAAUCGGUCCAUAUAUAUUUCUUUUCCACGGGACUCCUUGUUUGGUAUGCGUGUUACAGUAAUCCCAACUGUAAGA